GUUGGGUAGGGGAGCGUUCUGUAAGCCUGCGAAGGUGGCCUGUGAGGGUUGCUGGAGGUAUCAGAAGUGCGAAUGCUGACAUAAGUAACGAUAAAGCGGGUGAAAAGCCCGCUCGCCGGAAGACCAAGGGUUCCUGUCCAACGUUAAUCGGGGCAGGGUGAGUCGACCCCUAAGGCGAGGCCGAAAGGCGUAGUCGAUGGGAAACGGGUUAAUAUUCCCGUACUUGGUGUUACUGCGAAGGGGGGACGGAGAAGGCUAUGUUGGCCGGGCGACGGUUGUCCCGGUUUAAGCGUGUAGGUGUGUGUUCCAGGUAAAUCCGGUUCACUUUAACACUGAGGCGUGAUGACGAGGCACUACGGUGCUGAAGCAACAAAUGCCCUGCUUCCAGGAAAAGCCUCUAAGCAUCAGGUAACAUCAAAUCGUACCCCAAACCGACACAGGUGGUCAGGUAGAGAAUACCAAGGCGCUUGAGAGAACUCGGGUGAAGGAACUAGGCAAAAUGGUGCCGUAACUUCGGGAGAAGGCACGCUGACACGUAGGUGAAGUGAUUUACUCACGGAGCUGAAGUCAGUCGAAGAUACCAGCUGGCUGCAACUGUUUAUUAAAAACACAGCACUGUGCAAACACGAAAGUGGACGUAUACGGUGUGACGCCUGCCCGGUGCCGGAAGGUUAAUUGAUGGGGUCAGCGCAAGCGAAGCUCCUGAUCGAAGCCCCGGUAAACGGCGGCCGUAACUAUAACGGUCCUAAGGUAGCGAAAUUCCUUGUCGGGUAAGUUCCGACCUGCACGAAUGGCGUAAUGAUGGCCAGGCUGUCUCCACCCGAGACUCAGUGAAAUUGAACUCGCUGUGAAGAUGCAGUGUACCCGCGGCAAGACGGAAAGACCCCGUGAACCUUUACUAUAGCUUGACACUGAACAUUGAGCCUUGAUGUGUAGGAUAGGUGGGAGGCUUUGAAGUGUGGACGCCAGUCUGCAUGGAGCCGACCUUGAAAUACCACCCUUUAAUGUUUGAUGUUCUAACGUGGACCCGUUACCCGGGUUGCGGACAGUGUCUGGUGGGUAGUUUGACUGGGGCGGUCUCCUCCUAAAGAGUAACGGAGGAGCACGAAGGUUGGCUAAUCCUGGUCGGACAUCAGGAGGUUAGUGCAAUGGCAUAAGCCAGCUUGACUGCGAGCGUGACGGCGCGAGCAGGUGCGAAAGCAGGUCAUAGUGAUCCGGUGGUUCUGAAUGGAAGGGCCAUCGCUCAACGGAUAAAAGGUACUCCGGGGAUAACAGGCUGAUACCGCCCAAGAGUUCAUAUCGACGGCGGUGUUUGGCACCUCGAUGUCGGCUCAUCACAUCCUGGGGCUGAAGUAGGUCCCAAGGGUAUGGCUGUUCGCCAUUUAAAGUGGUACGCGAGCUGGGUUUAGAACGUCGUGAGACAGUUCGGUCCCUAUCUGCCGUGGGCGCUGGAGAACUGAGGGGGGCUGCUCCUAGUACGAGAGGACCGGAGUGGACGCAUCACUGGUGUUCGGGUUGUCAUGCCAAUGGCACUGCCCGGUAGCUAAAUGCGGAAGAGAUAAGUGCUGAAAGCAUCUAAGCACGAAACUUGCCCCGAGAUGAGUUCUCCCUGAGACUUAGAGUCUCCUGAAGGAACGUUGAAGACGACGACGUUGAUAGGCCGGGUGUGUAAGCGCAGCGAUGCGUUGAGCUAACCGGUACUAAUGAACCGUGAGGCUUAACCUUACAACGCCGAAG
rnacentral:rRNA from 1 species